UACGUAGGGUGCGAGCGUUAAUCGGAAUUACUGGGCGUAAAGCGUGCGCAGGCGGUUCUCCAAGUCCGUUGUGAAAGCCCCGGGCUCAACCUGGGAAUGGCAGUGGAAACUAGGGGACUGGAAUCUGGCAGAGGGGGGUGGAAUGCCGCGUGUAGCAGUGAAAUGCGUAGAUAUGCGGAGGAACACCGAUGGCGAAGGCAAUCCCCUGGGCCUGCACUGACGCUCAUGCACGAAAGCGUGGGGAGCAAACAGG
rnacentral:rRNA from 1 species